UACGGGGGGGGCGAGCGUUGUUCGGAAUUACUGGGCGUAAAGGGCGCGUAGGCGGUUCGCUAAGUUGGAUGUGAAAACUCUGGGCUCAACCCAGAGCCUGCAUCCAAAACUGGCGGGCUAGAGUUCUGGAGGGGGUAGCGGAAUUCCUGGUGUAGCGGUGAAAUGCGUAGAUAUCAGGAGGAACACCGGUGGUGAAGGCGGGUCUCUGGGCCGUAACUGACGCUGAGGAGCGAAAGCAUGGGGAGCGAACAGG
rnacentral:rRNA from 1 species